UCCGAGUUAGUAUAUCGGCUAGUAUAUCCGCCUUUCGCGCGGAGGAGACGGGUUCGAUUCCCGUACUCGGAA
rnacentral:tRNA from 1 species